AAGAAAAGAGGGUGUCAAGUUAGCCAAGGUGACUGCCUGAAACCAAGCCAAUCCAGUCUCUGUUGAUCAACUAGAUGACAUUGGAGCAGGCAAGUCAUCCUUGGCUACUAAACAAAAUAACACUCUUUUCU
rfam:Daucus carota subsp. sativus cultivar DH1 chromosome 4, whole genome shotgun sequence.